UACAGAGGGGGCAAGCGUUGUUCGGAAUUACUGGGCGUAAAGGGCGCGUAGGCGGCCUGUUAAGUCGAACGUGAAAUCCCCGGGCUCAACCCGGGAACUGCGUCCGAUACUGGCAGGCUUGAAUCCGGGAGAGGGAUGUGGAAUUCCAGGUGUAGCGGUGAAAUGCGUAGAUAUCUGGAGGAACACCGGUGGCGAAGGCGGCAUCCUGGACCGACACUGACGCUGAGGCGCGAAAGCUAGGGUAGCAAACGGG
rnacentral:rRNA from 1 species